rnacentral:rRNA from 1 species
ACGUAGGGUGCGAGCGUUAAUCGGAAUUACUGGGCGUAAAGCGUGCGCAGGCGGUUUGGUAAGACAGAUAUGAAAUUCCCGGGAUAAACCUGGGGACUGCAUUUGUGACUGCCUAACUAGAGUGCGGCAGAGGGGAGUGGAAUUCCGCGUGUAGCAGUGGAAUGCGUAGAUAUGCGGAGGAACACCGAUGUCGAAGGCAACUCCCUGGGCCUGCACUGACGCUCAUGCACGAAAGCGUGGGGAGCAAACAG